rnacentral:rRNA from 1 species
GAUGAACGCUGACAGAAUGCUUAACACAUGCAAGUCGAUGGGGAAGUGGUGCUUGCACCAUGGCAACCCUGGCGGACGGGUGAGUAACGCGUAAGGGACUUACCUGCAGGACUGGGAUAACAGGGGGAAACUCCUGACAAGACCGGAUAAUGUCAUGGAGCUGCAUGGCUUUAUGAUGAAAGGAGACGCCUGCGGAGAGCCUUGCGUCCUAUUAGCUAGUUGGUGAGGUAAUGGCUCACCAAGGCGAAGAUAGGUAGCCGGCCUGAGAGGGUGGACGGCCACAAGGGGACUGAGAUACGGCCCUUACUCCUACGGGAGGCAGCAGUGGGGAAUAUUGGACAAUGGGGGCAACCCUGAUACAGCAAUUCUGUGUGAACGAAGAAGGUUUUCGGAUUGUAAAGUGAUUUCAGCAGGGAAGAAGUAAGUGACGGUACCUGCAGAAGAAGCGACGGCUAAAUACGUG